AGCGGUCGGAUUGAUGUUGUAAGAUCAACUGAUGCGUUUUAGUUUAAAAUGGAACGUGAUAAAACUACUUUGAGGCAAUGCCAAAUUGGCGAACAAAAUCAUCGCUGAUUGUUCGAAGAAGGGGAAAGCUCAAAUUAUGCAAACGUGAAGACAUAUUUUGCGAAAUGUUUCUUUUAAAUGAGUUUAUUUUUCAAAGAUAGGUUUAUAAUUGUCAAAUUUUAGUGCGUUAAUUUCACUUUUGGAGCGAAAGAACUAUGAGGUGGAAACCAUUUAUCUCUGCUUUUCCUUUGACUGAAAUUAGGCUUACCUUUGCGAGAUGAUAGGCAAAAAUGUAGUUAGUCAAAUAUUUUACGUUUUGUUUAAACAACACGAGUUGAAAUAUACUUGCAAUUUAUUAUUAAUUCGAAUUUAAAACGAUAAAAUUAUUGAGUAAUAGGCAAUUUUCGCAACAGAAAAUACACUAUGCUAUAUUAUGCAGAAUAUGCGCUCAUUACAUAUUCGAUGAAAUUUAACAAAAAUCUGAAUACAGCAACACAUUAAGAAGAUUCAUGCAAUGUAAAACUGCAAUGAUCAUUUUUUAUUUAUUUUGCGAAAUAUGAUGUAACAUUGUGCCAAAAUUGUGCAUCAAGUCAGUCAAUAGAACUACUAUAGAACUCUUCAAAGAGUUAAAUACCUUUUUCUAAAUAAUGAUGUAGAAAAUGAAUAAGAGAAAUUGGUUCAAUUUUUAUUGAAGUCCUAAUUAUUGUCCGCAUUAGGUUCAAUAAGAUACUGGAAUGUAUAUAAAUUCAGAGAAUACCAAGUGCCGGAAGACACAUUGAUUGCCGAGAUGGGUCGCAAGAUAUAAUACUGGCAAUGUCUCCCACCGCCAGCACUUCUCCAAUAGUGGUGUUGUAAGUGGUCGUAUCGCGUAGUCAUUUUCUUAGGGACAUAGGUCAUAAGGGAAGAUGGUUGGAGUUGCCUUCUACGAAGAAAAGCGUCGUCAUCAGCUGUUGACAUAGGCUUGAAGGGUUGUUUGAAGUGAAAGGUCUAAGCCAACAAGCUCAGUAGCCACUAAGACGAUAUUCAUCAACGAUAUUCAGCUACAUUUAUGCAAAAUGGUCAUGGAACAUUUCUACAAAAGAGUGCGUAUACAUCAGCAAAGUUGUGGAGGCCAUUUGCCCUAUGGACUAUUCCAUAUAUAAUCCAACGAUUCAAUAAAAAUAUAACAAUUUAAAGGGAAAACUGUUUUUUAUAUUCAAUUGUGACUAUGUGCUAUUCCAUACAUAA